rnacentral:misc_RNA from 1 species
AACGCACCUUGCGCUCCUUGGUAUUCCGAGGAGCAUGCCUGUUUGAGUGUCUUGAAGUCAUCAACCCCUCCCGUUUCGUGCGUGGAAGGGUUGGAUGUGGGGGCUCUGCUGCCGUGAGGCGGCUCCCCUCAAAUGCAUCGGUUGGGCCUGUGGGUCGAACUCGACUGGGCGUUGUACCAUCCUCGCUCGACAGAGACGUUCCCCUCCUGCGCCCUCCCCCGACCUGCCUAUCAGAGCGGCGGUCAAGCAACAAACUUUGAAAUCUGACCUCAAAUCAGGUAGGACUACCCGCUGAACUUAA